UGGAUCUCCUGAUAAUGUUCCACCAGGGACAAUUAUAGAUAACAAAGUUUGUCAUCCAAGGAACAAUGACUUCUAUCUGUGCGCCCAUGCUGGAAUGAUUGGUACGACUCGACCUACACAUUACCAUGUGUUGUUGGAUGAAGUUGGUUUCUCACCUGAUGAACUUCAAGAACUUGUUCAUAAUCUGUCCUAUGUGUACCAAAGAAGCACUACUGCUAUAUCCAUUGUGGCUCCGAUAAGUUAUGCCCAUUUGGCCGCCACACAGGUGGGUCAAUGGAUGAAAUUCGAGGAUGCGUCAGAGACAUCGUCAAGCCAUGGUGGUCUGACUAAUGCUGGUCCAGUUACUGUUCCUCAAUUGCCCCGUCUUCAGGAGAACGUUGCUAGCUCCAUGUUCUUCUGUUGAGGCCUGUGCACCACCUCCUGUUUUACUCUACGCGGUUAAUGUAUGCUCUAGACAAAUGGUUUCUGUAAAUAGCUCUAGUUUGACAGCACUUGGAGUACGAACCUUGUCCUAGUGACCUCCCAAAAACAACUUAGUUAUGCGGUACAAUACUAGGUCUGUUGCCAUAUUCAGGUCUCAUGCAUAUUUUUCGCGCUUCUGUUCUCCUGAACAAUUUUGCUAUGUAUCUGUAAAAUGCAUAGAGAUUAACCUGGUGGUGUGACUAUGCAUCAAUUAUGCUUUUUUAUAUGUAAA
rnacentral:misc_RNA from 1 species